rnacentral:rRNA from 1 species
AUGAUGAAGGUGGAGGUGGUGGAGUCGACGCUGGUGGCGCCCAGCGAGGAGACGCCGCGGCGGGCGCUGUGGCUCUCCAACCUCGACCUCGCCGUGCCCAAGACGCACACGCCGCUCGUCUACUACUACCCGGCCCCGGCCCCGACGCCCGACGGCGAAAACUUGGACUUCUUCUCGCCGGAGCGGCUCAAGGCAGCGCUGGCCAGGGCGCUGGUGCUCUUCUACCCGCUGGCCGGCCGGCUCGGGCGAGAGGGCGAGGGCGGGCGGCUGCAGAUCGACUGCAACGGCGAGGGCGCGCUCUUCGUCGUCGCCAGGGCGCCGGACGUCGCCGGGGAGGACCUCUUCGGCAGCGGCUACGAGCCCUCGCCGGAGAUCAGGCGCAUGUUCGUGCCCUUCGUGCCCUCUGGCGACCCGCCGUGCCUCAUGGCCAUGUUCCAGGUGACGUUCCUCAAGUGCGGCGGCGUGGUGCUGGGCACGGGCAUCCACCACGUGACCAUGGACGGCAUGGGCGCGUUCCACUUCAUCCAGACAUGGACGGGGCUCGCGCGGGGCCUCGCCCUCUCCGACGCUUGCCCGUCGCUGCCAUUCCAUGACCGGACGCUCCUCCGCGCGCGGUCACCGCCGCACCCCGAAUUCGACCAUCCCGUGUACUCGCCGGCGUACCUCAACGGCGCCCCACGGCCCUUCGUCACCCGCGUCUACUCCAUCUCCCCAAAGCUCCUCACCGACCUCAAGUCCCGGUGCGCGCCCGGCGUGUCCACCUACGGCGCCGUGACGGCGCACCUCUGGCGGUGCAUGUGCGUGGCGCGCGGGCUCGCCCCGGGCUCCGACACGCGCCUCCGCGUGCCGGCCAACAUCCGGCACCGGCUGCGCCCGCAGCUCCCGCGCCAGUUCUUCGGCAACGCCAUCGUGCGCGACCUCGUCAGCGUGAAGGUGGGCGACGUGCUGUCGCAGCCGCUGGGGUACGUGGCGGACAUGAUCCGGAAGGCGGUGGACCAUGUCGACGACGCGUACACGCGGUCGGUGAUCGACUACCUGGAGGUGGAGUCGGAGAAGGGCAGCCAGGCGGCGCGCGGGCAGCUGAUGCCGGAGUCGGACCUGUGGGUGGUGAGCUGGCUGGGGAUGCCCAUGUACGACGCCGACUUCGGGUGGGGCGCGCCGCGGUUCGUGGCGCCGGCGCAGAUGUUCGGCAGCGGCACGGCGUACGUGACGCAGCGCGGCGCCGACAGGGACGACGGCAUCGCCGUGCUGUUCGCGCUGGAGCCCGAGUACCUGCAGUGCUUCCAGGACGUCUUCUACGGGGAGUGA